rnacentral:rRNA from 1 species
GACGAACGCUGGCGGCGUGCCUAAUACAUGCAAGUUGAGCGAGGAAGCUUGGUGCUUGCACCAAUUUGAAGAGCAGCGAACGGGUGAGUAACGCGUGGGGAAUCUGCCUUUGAGCGGGGGACAACAUUGGGAAACGAAUGCUAAUACCGCAUAACAACUUUAAAAAUAAGUGUUAAGAUUGAAAGAUGCAAUUGCAUCACUCAAAGCUGAUCCCGCGUUGUAUUAGCUAGUUGGUGAGGGAAAGGCUCACCAAGGCGGUGAUACAUAGCCGACCUGAGAGGGAGCUACACCAGAAUGGGGAUGGGACAGCGGCCAAGAGUCUUCGGGGAGGAGCAGUUGGGGAACUUUGGAGAAGGAGGGAAGUCUGGCCGAGCAAAGCCGGGUGAGGGAAGAAGGGUUUCGGAUCGUAAAACUCUGUUUGUUGAGGAGAACAUUGGUGAGAGUGGAACGCUCAUGGAGUGACGGUAACUGCCGAAAAAGGAACGGCUAACUACGUG